rnacentral:tRNA from 1 species
GCGGAAGUGGUGGAAUUGGCAGACACGUCAGAUUUAGGAUCUGGUGGGCAUUGCCCGUGGGGGUUCGAAUCCCCCCUUCCGCACCA